GCAUAACGCGAAGAACCUUACCUACGCUUGUAUCCUGAUCGCGACUUUCAGAGAUGAGAGUCUUCAGUUCGGCUGGAUCAGAGACAGGUGCUGCAUGGCUGUCGUCAGCUCGUGUCGUGAGAUGUUGGGUUAAGUCCCGCAACGAGCGCAACCCUAUUGUAUGUUGCCAUCAGGUAAUGCUGGGCGACUCAUACGAGACUGCCGGUGAUAAGCCGGAGGAAGGCGGGGACGACGUCAAAUACAUCAUGGCCCGUUACCGCGUAGGGCGUAGAAACGUAGCUACAAUGGCAAUGACAGUGGGCAGCAACACGGCAACGUGAAGCUAAUCUCCAAAAGUUGUCUCAGUUCAGAUUGUCCUCUGCAACUCGAGGGCAUGAAGCUGGAAUCGCUAGUAAUCGCAAAUCAGCAUGUUGCGGUGAAUACGUUCCCGGGGGUCUUGUACACACCGGAGUCGGUGGGGGAGGGCAAGGGGGCGACACAGGGGGGGGGAGUA
rnacentral:rRNA from 1 species